GCCUCGAUAGUAUAAAAGACUAUUACUCUGGUCUUGUAAAUCAGCAAUGAAGACCUGACAGAACUUCUCGUGGCA
rnacentral:tRNA from 1 species